UUUAGAAGAUAAACACCCGCUAGGUAAUGGUUACAUUUUGUACUUGCAAGGGAACAAGAAAGUUUUCCAGAGGCUGCGUGUUGGAUGACCAAGGUGCUCUAACCGCAGGGCAAUUCAUGGCUCUGGUUUUGUCAUGCAAUACCACAGUAUAUGUUUAUUUAACCGCAGCAGUUGGAAUUUUCCAUUUACGUGACGACCUGCAAAUACAAAUACAAACCGAAGGGGGAGGGGGGCAUACUGUCCCUGUUUGUUCUCAGCUGCCUCAGUGUCAAGGAGUUUGAACUGCUUCUACCUCACCAGGUGUGUAUGAUCCUGUCACCCAAUGAAAAACCGCAUCGCUUCUGGUGUGUAGUGGCCUUUAUAAACUGACCGGUCAACCAAACACCCCACUCUGAGCCGGAGGGAAAACACUGGAUUCUACAAACCCCAAACAAAACUGCAUUUCAACAAAAGCCAACUCACAGGUAUCAGUAGCCAAGCCCUAAAAAUAUCCACUGUCACAACCUUGGUUAGCACUUUAUCCAUCUAUCCACAUGAGCUCCUUGUAAGCCUACACAGGCAUUCCUGCAUUAUUACAGUACACACUUGCAAGACGCCUACAGUUGCAUUAAAAGUUAUGCUUGGCUUGUUUUCAAUUCCAGCCCACGCUAUAUAUGAACGAAUGGAAAAAUGCAUAUUGUGUUUUGGUUAUUGGCAUAUUGUGUUUUUUUUAGUAUAUUCUUGCUUAUGUUAAUCUACCACAACUUGCGGAACAGUAACGGAAACCUUUGCUGUGAGUGUAAUCAUCUCCCAGCUGCAUUCUAACUAUAAUGUGAUGAAAGAUGUCCUAACCACAACAUGUUCCAUGACCUGGCACAACAUUUCAACUCAGUGUUUAGUACUGUAGUGUACACAAAGGAAACCUGGGGAGGAUAAACUUUUCAAUUUCUGCUUCUGUUUCAUUAAGAAUGUAGACACAACACACGCAAAACACCUCCGCAGAAAUGGAUAGUGGAGAGACUGUGCUUUGAUGGCAAUCAACUUGAACUUAAAUCUGCAGCAGGGAAUCUUGGAGUUAUCUUUGAUCCCAAGCUCUUUUGACUCUCACAGCCAUGCGAUUACAAAAAACUCCUAUUUUGAGCUUGGGCAUAUUUCUAGAAUUGGAGCCUUGCUGUCUCAAAGGAUGCAGAGAUCCUGAUUGGCACUUUUGAUUGAUUAUUGAAAAUCUCUCUUUAUAGGCCAUCCUGAUUCUACCAUUUCACGACUUCAGCUUCUCCAAAACUCUACUGCCCAUCUCUUCACACAAACUAAACCAUGCCAGCACAUUAGCCCUGUCUUGGUAUCCCUACACUGGCUGCCUGUUAAGCACAGCAUUGAGUUUAAAGUCCUAUAAGGCUUGUUGGGAAUUUGGCCCUGGUUACUCUGUGAGCUGCUGAAGCCGUCCACUCUGGGUCUUUCUUUUCAUUCCUCUCACUCAGCUCUACUCUCUGCUCUUUCUUUCAACUGCUCUCUUUCUAAUCAGACACUGAAAUUCAUUCCCUGGGAGUAUUCGC